rnacentral:lncRNA from 10 species
CCAAUGUUAAGAAAAAAAGUAAUGAUAAUUACUUUUAUAUAAUAACCAAAGUGGAUACAAUUAUGUUUUCUGAAUUACGACAAAAAUUACAAAAACAAACCAGUUUAUUUGUUGACAUUGAAAGAACUUCAAACAUCAGCAAACGAAAGCAAUCUUUAAUAUUUACAUGUGGUACAGCAAAAUUUAAUCUAUGUUUAAUAAACAAAAUAAAAAUAUCACUUUAAAAUGUCGAUAUCACGAUAGUGAAGAGGCAAAAGCAACCCAAGAGUCCAUCCACAGAUGAAUGAGUAAAUAAAAUAUGGCAUACACACACACACAGGAGUAUCAUUCAGCCUUAAAACGAAAGGACAUUCUGGCACAUGCUACAACAUGCAUGAAACUUCAAGGACAUGAUACUAAGUGAAACAAUCCAGUAACAAAAAGACAAAUACUGUAUGAUCUCACAUAUACGAGGUACUUACAGUAGUCAAAAUCAUAGAGACAGGAAGUAAAAUGGUGGGUCACCAAGGGCCAGGGGAAAGUGGUCAUGAGGCAUUAUUGUUUAAUGUGCAUAGACUUUUAGUUUUGAAAGAUGAAAAGAAUUCUGGAGAUGGAUGGUGGUGAUGACCGUACACCAAUGUGAUUGAACUGUACAUCCCCAAAGGUCUGACUUUCAGUCUUCUUCUGGAUAAAGGGAUAAAUGAGGCACUGUUACCUGUCUGUGUUAAGUGGAGGAGACUGAGGAAUCUAACUAAUUGAACAGACUUUGUAUGUUUAAUGAAUGUUUAAUAAACAUUUCCCAUUUUCAUAUAGUUUUUAUAUGUAGAGCUUCGCCUGUACCUAUAACUAUAACCUUCUUCUUCCCUCCUGCCCAUUCUAGAGAUACACACAACUGCUAAUUGCUGAGCCUUUCGGAGUUUCAAAUGUGUAAACUGUUUUUUCUAGGCUUUCUUCACUGUCAUCUGAUAAUUCAGUUAUUCGGUUCUCUCAAUCUGAUAAAUCAGUUACUAUUUAUCUAUUGCUCUCCAGCUUCCAGAAUUUUGUUGGUAUUCAUUCUUCUCCUGUUUCUUUGCUUAUGCCUUUUUGAAAAUUUUUUUUUCCUAUAUAAUUAAUGGGGCUUCAACAGUUAGCUGAAGUAAGUGUGUAUGUUAAUCUACCAUCUUUUUUUAGGAGCCUAUUGUCCUCUUCCUCAGUCUCAUGAAAUCCUUUCUAUGUUAGAAAUUGUCUUCUGUAGGAAGAGGCUGGUUUCAUGAGUAAAUACUAUGUGCAAUUAACUUUUUUGUUUGUUUGUUUGUUUAGGAGGAGUCUCACUCUGUUGCUCAGGCUGCAGUGCAGUGGCCCGAUCUUGGCUCACCGCAACCUCUGUCUCCUGGGUUCAAGGGAUCCUCCCACCUCAGCCUCUCUGGUUGCUGAGACUACAGGGGGCGGAAAUCUCCAUAGAGUGAAUAUUUUUGAUGUGGCCUUUCCCAC